UCCGCCACUAGCAGCCACUGUCGUCGCCUAUUACCACCCAACUUACCUAAUAUGGUAGAUACAACCUUCAAUGUAACAUAUAUAAGUAAAUCAGAAGCAUGCAAGGUAAAAUUUACUGACAGAAGUUGGUAACGUUGUCGAUCUGGUUGUCGAAGGCAACGCGAACGAAGCAUCGGGAAGUCAAGCCGGCGCGGACACACGUUUAAAGGGAAAGCUCUAAGUUCUUGGUACUUAUUAACAACUGGGAUGAUGAUCAAGCCGCCUUUAAAGAACCGAACAUGAUGAAGAAUAAAGCUUCCACUUUUGUUUAAAUGUUUUUGUAUAAAUCAAACAUUUUGUAGGAUUAGUUAAUGUAAUUAAAAUCAAUACAUUUUGAUAA